GGUUUAAUUACCCAAGUUUGAGGUAAUUGAGUGUUUCGGCCCAGAGUUUCGGCUUCUGUGGCUUGAAGAAAAAUUUUGGAACGUCCUGCUAUAUAGCGGGACAAC
rnacentral:sRNA from 1 species